rnacentral:rRNA from 1 species
AUUGAACGCUGGCGGCAUGCCUUACACAUGCAAGUCGAACGGCAGCACGGGUGCUUGCACCUGGUGGCGAGUGGCGAACGGGUGAGUAAUACAUCGGAACGUACCUUAUCGUGGGGGAUAACGCAGCGAAAGUUGCGCUAAUACCGCAUAAGCCCUGAGGGGGAAAGCGGGGGACCGUAAGGCCUCGCGCGAUUAGAGCGGCCGAUGUCUGAUUAGCUUGUUGGUGAGGUAAAAGCUCACCAAGGCGAUGAUCAGUAGCUGGUCUGAGAGGACGAUCAGCCACACUGGGACGGAGACACGGCCCAGACUCCUACGGGAGGCAGCAGUGGGGAAUUUUGGACAAUGGGGGCAACCCUGAUCCAGCAAUGCCGCGUGAGUGAAGAAGGCCUUCGGGUUGUAAAGCUCUUUUGUCAGGGAAGAAACAGCAGCUCUAACACAGUCUGCGAAUGACGGUACCUGAAGAAUAAGCACCGGCUAACUACGUGCCAGCAGCCGCCGCGG